GAGUUUGAUCGUGGCUCAGAUUGAACGCUGGCGGCAUGCCUUACACAUGCAAGUCGAACGACGCUAGGGGCAACUCUAGCGAGUGGCGAACGGGUGAGUAAUACAUCGGAACGUGUCCUGUCGUGGGGGAUAACCAGUCGAAAGACUGGCUAAUACCGCAUGACCUCGCAAGAGAAAAGCGGAGGUACCGCAAGGCUUCGUCGCGAUUGGAGCGGCCGAUGUCGGAUUAGCUAGUUGGGCGGGGUAAUGGCCCACCAAGGCGACGAUCCGUAGCUGGUUUGAGAGAACGACCAGCCACACUGGGACUGAGACACGGCCCAGACUCCUACGGGAGGCAGCAGUGGGGAAUUUUGGACAAUGGGGGCAACCCUGAUCCAGCCAUGCCGCGUGUGUGAAGAAGGCCUUCGGUU
rnacentral:rRNA from 1 species